rnacentral:lncRNA from 1 species
GGCUCACUAUCACGCUCUGGCCAGCUUUGUUUAUGGUAGUGGCAUCAAUCCAGAAAGAGACCCCGGAAUCGCCAAUGGGUUCAGACUGAUCUCAGUGAGCAGCUUCUGUGUGUGCGACCUGGCCAAUGACAACAGCAUUGGAAAUGCCUCCCUGGCAGGCGGCAACUUUGGGGUUUGUUCUCUCAACUGUCUCUCUUGUAACCUUGCUGAUAGUGGGCUACCUAGAGCGAGCCCUCUGUGACCAGACAGGAUAUAAUGCACUCGCAAGAUUCCUUUAGUGCUGUAAAGUUUCCUCAAUGCCUAAAGUUCUGACUUUUUUGUAAAUUCUCCAGUGUCGUUGUACAAUGCCUUUGCCAUCCACCCCAAACUUUUAAGCUGUUAUUAUCCUGGGAUUCCUGAAACUCCCACUUGUAGUCUCCAUGUGAACGUUAAAGACAUUAUAACCAGAAAGACUGUAAGCUUUCUUUUUUAAAUACAGAUACCAUAUUUACAGAGUUCACUUUUCCACUGAUGGU